UGAUCUCGUGCGGGAGAGCACCCACACCAACCCAGUGUGGGUCACCGAAGGAGCAACUCCUCUCCGACAAACUCUCAGGUCCCCGUACCGCACGGGCCAG
rnacentral:ncRNA from 2 species